rnacentral:rRNA from 1 species
GACGAACGCUGGCGGCGUGCUUAACACAUGCAAGUCGAGCGGUAAGGCCCUUUCGGGGGUACACGAGCGGCGAACGGGUGAGUAACACGUGGGUGACCUGCCCUCAGCUCUGGGAUAAGCCUGGGAAACUGGGUCUAAUACCGGAUAUGACUCCAUGACGCAUGUUGUGGGGUGGAAAGCCUUGUGCGGCUGAGGAUGGGCCCGCGGCCUAUCAGCUUGUUGGUGGGGUGAGGCCUACCAAGGCGACGACGGGUAGCCGGCCUGAGAGGGCGACCGGCCACACUGGGACUGAGACACGGCCCAGACUCCUACGGGAGGCAGCAGUGGGGAAUCUUGCGCAAUGGGCGAAAGCCUGACGCAGCGACGCCGCGUGAGGGAUGGAC